rnacentral:rRNA from 1 species
GACAGAGGGUGCAAACGUUGCUCGGAUUUACUGGGCGUAAAGCGCGUGUAGGCGGGCGACUAAGUCGGAUGUGAAAUCCCCUGGGCUCAACCUAGGAACUGCAUUCGAAACUGGUCACCUAGAGUGAUGGAGAGGAAAGCGGAAAUUCCCGGUGUAGAGGUGAAAUUCGUAGAUAUCGGGAGGAACACCAGUUGGCGAAGGCGGC